UACGGGGGGAGCAAACGUUGUUCGGAAUCACUGGGCGUAAAGGGCGUGUAGGCGGUCCGCUAAGUCUGAUGUGAAAGCCCGGGGCUCACCCCCGGAAGUGCAUUGGAAACUGGCGGACUCGAGUCCCGGAGAGGAGAGUGGAAUUCCUGGUGUAGCGGUGAAAUGCGUAGAUAUCAGGAGGAACACCGGUGGCGAAGGCGGCUCUCUGGACGGUGACUGACGCUGAGACGCGAAAGCGUGGGGAGCAAACAGG
rnacentral:rRNA from 1 species